rnacentral:rRNA from 1 species
CCUAGUUAAUUCUGCCAAUAGUCAUGCGCUUGUCCUAAAGAUUAAGUCAUGCAUGUGUAAAUAUGAACCACUUCAAACUAUGAAACUAUGAAUGGCUCAUUAAAUCAGUUAUAGAUUAUUUAAUGGUAUCUCUUACUCGGAUGGCCAUAGUAAUUCUAGAGCUAAUACAUGCAACAAACCUUGACUUCUAGAAAGGAUGCAUUUAUUAGAUAAAAGGUCAAUGUGGGCUUUGUCCGUUGCUCUAAUGAUUCAUGAUAACUUGACAAAUCAUAUGGCAUUUGUGCCAAUGACACAUCAUUCAAAUUUCUACUCUAUCAACUUUCAAAGGUAUGAUAAUGGUUUAUUAUAGUGGUGAAAGGUGAUGGAGAAUUAAGGUUUGAUUUUGGAAAAGGAGCCUGAGAAACGGCUACCGCAUCCAACAAAUGUAGCAGGUGCAUAAAUUACCCAAUCCUGACAUGAGUAGGUGGUGACAAAAAAUAACAAUACUGGGAUCAUGGGUCUAGUAAUUGAAUAAGUACAAUCUAAAUCCCUUAACAAGGAUCCAUUAGAGGGUAAGUGUGGUGCAUGCAAUUGCUGUAAUUCCAACUGCAAUAACGUAUAUUUAAGUUGUUGUAGUUAAAAAGAUCAUAGUUGGAAUUAGGGUUGGGUCAUCUAGUUUACCUUGUGAGUAUCUGUCUACUCAUCCCUACUACUAGUGAUGCAUUGUUGGCUUUAAUUGGUUGGGUCAUUCCUCUGGCAUUGUUAUAUUAAAGAAAUUAGAGUGCCUAAAGUAGGCCUACACAUGUAUAAUUAGCAAGGAAUAAUAUUAUAGGAUUUUGGUCCUAUUGUGUUGGCCUUUGGGAUCAGCGUAAUGAUUAACAAGAAUAGUUAGGGCAUUUGUAUUUCAUAGUUAGAGGUGAAAUUCUUGGAUUUAUGAAAGACAACUGUGAAAUCAUUUGGAAGGAUGUUUUCAUUAAUCAAGAAAAAAAAUUAAAGGCUCAAAGAUGAUUAGAUACCAUCCUAGUCUCAACUAUAAAUGAUGCCAACCAGGGAUCAGUGGAUGUUACUUUUAGGACUCCAUCGGCACCUUAUGAUAAAUCAAAGUCUUUAAGUUCUGGGAGGAGUAUGGUCACGAGGCUAAAACUUAAAGGAAUUUAUAGAAGGGCACCACUAGGAGUGGAGCCUAUGACUUAAUUUGACUCAACAUAGGGAAACUUACUAGGUUUAAACAUAGUAAGGAUUGAUAAACUGAGAGCUCAUUCUUGAUUCUAAGGGUGGUGGUCCAUGGACAUUCUUAGUUGGUGGAGUGAUUUUUCUAGUUAAUUCCAUUAAUGAAUGAUACCUCAGCCUAUUAACUAGCUACACAGAGGUGAUCCUUCAUGGCUAGCUUAUUGAAGGGACUAUUAUAGCUUAGGCUAAGGAAGUUUGAGGCAAUAAUAGGUCUGUGAUGCCCUUAGAUGUUUUGGGACACACGCGUGUUACACUGAUGUAUUUAAUGAGUUUAUAGGCUUAGCCUACAAGCUCAGGUAAUCUUUGAAAUUUCAUCAUGAUGGGGAUAGAUCAUUACAAUUAUUGGUAAUGCAAUUUUUAUAGUUGAACCUAUGAAAGGAUCAUUG